rnacentral:rRNA from 1 species
UGGGGAAUAUUGCACAAUGGGCGGAAGCCUGAUGCAGCAACGCCGCGUGAGUGAUGAAGGCCUUCGGGUUGUAAAGCUUUGUCUUCUGGGACGAUAAUGACGGUACCAGAGGAGGAAGCCACGGCUAACUACGUGCCAGCAGCCGCGGUAAUACGUAGGUGGCAAGCGUUGUCCGGAUUUACUGGGCGUAAAGGAUGCGUAGGCGGAUACUUAAGUCAGAUGUGAAAAUCCCGGGCUUAACUUGGGAACUGCAUUUGAAACUGGGUAUCUAGAGUGCGGGAGAGGAAAGUGGAAUUCCUAGUGUAGCGGUGAAAUGCGUAGAGAUUAGGAAGAACACCAGUGGCGAAGGCGACUUUCUGGACCGUAACUGACGCUGAGGCAUGAAAGCGUGGGGAGCAAACA